CAAUGGGCGAAAGCCUGAACAAGCGAUGCCGCGUGCGGGAUGAAGGCCUUCGGGUUGUAAACCGCUGUCAGAGGGAAGGAAAUUUUGACCGAUCCUCAAAGGAAGCCCGGGCUAAGUUCGUGCCAGCAGCCGCGGUAAUACGAACCGGGCGAACGUUAUUCGGAAUUACUGGGCUUAAAGGGUGCGUAGGCGGCGCUGUAAGUCGGGUGUGAAAUCCCACGGCUCAACCGUGGAAUUGCGCCCGAUACUGCAGUGCUUGAGGAAGAUAGAGGUGAGCGGAACGAAUGGUGGAGCGGUGAAAUGCGUUGAUAUCAUUCGGAACACCCGUGGCGAAAGCGGCUCACUGGGUCUUUUCUGACGCUGAGACACGAAAGCUAGGGGAGCGAACGGGAUUAGAUACCCCGGUAGUCCUAGCUGUAAACGAUGAGCACUAGAUCGGGGAGUCCAACACAACCUCCCGAUCGUAGCGAAAGUGUUAAGUGCUCCGCCUGGGGAGUAUGGUCGCAAGGCUG
rnacentral:rRNA from 1 species